CUUUAACCUAGAAUGACCCAAAGCAGUAGACUCUUUCCAAGAAAUGUGCAUGGAUUCUAUUGGCCUUACACUAACUAUAUAAGGCCCUUCCAUUACCCAGUGUUGGCAGACAGCUGGCAAAUUGUUUUUGUGGGUCAAUAUGACUUUGUAUGUUUUAGGGAUGUUUUAACUCUUACCCAAGCCCCCACCCAGUAUCUGCUCACUGUAAUACAUUACUUGUGAAUAGGCAGCUACCCAGGUGUUAAUUAUAUAUAAG